rnacentral:rRNA from 1 species
AGUGAACGCUGGCGGUAGGCCUAACACAUGCAAGUCGAACGAGUGGCGGACGGGUGAGUAAUACAUCUGCAUCUACUCUGUCGGGGGGGAUAACGUAGUGAAACUUACGCUAAUACCGCAUACGCUUGAAUGAGCCGCUGUGGGAUUAGCUAGUUGGCGGGGUAAAGGCCCACCAAGGCGACGAUCCGUAGCUGGUCUGAGAGGAUGAUCAGCCACACUGGAACUGAGACACGGUCCAGACUCCUACGGGAGGCAGCAGUGGGGAAUAUUGGACAAUGGGCGCAAGCCUGAUCCAGCCAUACCGCGUGUGUGAAGAAGGCCUUCGGGUUGUAAAGUCCUUUUGUUGGGAAAGCGGUACCCAAAGAAUAAGCACCGGCUAACUUCGUGCCAGCAGCCGCGGUAAUAC